AGACAGACAGGUCGAGCAAGGAUGAAAAUCGGACUUAGGGAUCCGGUGGUUCUGCGUGGAAGGGCCAUCGCUCAACGGAUAAAAGCUACCCUGGGGAUAACAGGCUUAUCUCCCCCAAGAGUCCACAUCGACGGGGAGGUUUGGCACCUCGAUGUCGGCUCAUCACAUCCUGGGGCUGUAGUAGGUCCCAAGGGUUGGGCUGUUCGCCCAUUAAAGUGGUACGCGAGCUGGGUUCAGAACGUCGUGAGACAGUUCGGUCCCUAUCCGUCGCAGGCGUAGGAAAUUUGAGAAGACCUGUCCUUAGUACGAGAGGACCGGGAUGGACGUACCUCUGGUGUACCAGUUGU
rnacentral:rRNA from 1 species